GCCUGGCUAGCUCAAUCGGUAGAGCGUUUGACUCUUAACUAAAAGAAGCAAUCAAAAGGUUGCGGGUUCGAUCCCCGCGUCGGGUU
rfam:Debaryomyces hansenii strain CBS767 chromosome G complete sequence.